rnacentral:tRNA from 3 species
GGGGAUGUAGCUCAGCUGGCUAGAGCGCUUGACUGGCAGUCAAGAGGUCGUGGGUUCGACUCCCAUCUUCUCCACCU